CUAAGUUUUCUGGAAAGGAAUGCCACAGAGGGUGAUAGCCCCGUACGGUGUUGACUCGAUACAGAGUCCUAACAUGGAGUCGAGUUGUUUGGGAAUGCAGCUCAAAUGGGUGGUAUGCUCCAUCUAAGGCUAAAUAUUUGCGAGAGACCGAUAGCGAACAAGUACUGUGAAGGAAAGAUGAAAAGAACUUUGAAAAGAGAGUGAAAUAGUACGUGAAAUUGUUGAAAUGGAAGGGUAGGCC
rnacentral:rRNA from 1 species